rnacentral:misc_RNA from 1 species
AAUGCGCCUUUCAGACUCCACAUGUAAGUUCCGUUGUUGCAGGUUUUUUAUUUACUAAUUGCUUUUGCCAGGGAGGAAAAAAGUUACUGUAUUUUCUUCAUUUGAAUGGAGUUUGGUGUUUCAUUUAACUGGUUAAUUGGUUCUUAUGGAAUCUAUUAGCCAAGCAACAAGGCAGGCUAAAGCUUUGGAGUCCCCUUUCCCCCUGCUAUCUCAACUCUUUUUCUUGCUGAUGCUUCAGCAGUUAUUUUUUUAAUGCAUUAGGCAUUUUUUUAUUUUUAUUUUCUUCUGGGAUGUACCAAAAAUUAUAAUUAACUUGCUAAUUUUUUUAAUUUCCUUUGGGCAGCUGAACAGAAAUUUUAUGAAUCAAACCUAAAUGGUCCCACAAUUCUAAUUUUCCUAAGGAAAUAACAUAAACCUGCAAAAGCCUCCAUUCGUUUCUGUUAAUUUCCUAAGGAGCAUCAUUAAUUAUAUUUUUAUACUUCCUGCGAAUCAUUAUUGGCUAUUAAUUCUUCCAAAAAAGUCAAUAAAAACAGAUUCCCAUCUUUGAAAUUAAUGCAAGCACAUCAGUUUCUCUAUCAUGUUUUCGCUACUGACUUUGUCUGCUACUGUCAGAGCGAUAAUGCCAUAAAUGGAGUUAAUCUGAUCAGUCAGAAGCUCUCCAUAUAGUUUCAUCAUCAUUUAUCGAGUCAUUAUAAAGUGUAUUCAGCAACAUAUACUGGUGGAUGAAACCUUCCUACUAACUAUUUCGUAUGUUUUUGCAAGAUACCAUUUGGUGGUCCCAUAAUACGGCCAAGAAGUGCCACAUUGCAUGAACAUUCUCAACCUGUACAUUAAUGGUUAUUCGCUGUUAUAGAUGGUGAAGUAAUCAUUCCAUUAAUGUCUUUCGAAAUCCCUGUUUCCAAGUGCAAGUGGCUAGGAAAGGGUCAUGCAAAUCAUUUUCUUCAUGUUUGUGCAUUUGUUUUUUUGGGAUAAAUUCAUAUAAUCUUGUUUAAUUUAUAAUAUUUUGCUCCUUGUCUUUGGGUGUUAAAUCAUUAUUAGGUUUCAACUUACACUUACAGAUGCAGGAUAAUAUACUAUAUUUGACAUUUUCUUUACCUUAUAUAUGGUCUGUAAUUCUCUCACUUGACUGUGUUAAUUCUGUUUUGAUUUUGUUGCUACUGUCAUAUAUGAAAUGCUUUAAUAUUCUUAUUUCAGGAAACCAUUGUUUAAAUGCUGGUUAUAUUAGGGGUUGUGGGGAGUUCCAUACUUCAUAGUUCAGCUAAAUCAUUCCUUAAGUUGCU